UACGGGGGGGGCAAGCGUUGUUCGGAAUUACUGGGCGUAAAGGGCUCGUAGGCGGCCAACUAAGUCAGACGUGAAAUCCCACGGCUCAACCGUGGAAGUGCACUCGAAACUGCAGGGCUAGAGUCCUGGAGAGGAAGGUGGAAUGCUUGGUGUAGAGGUGAAAUUCGUAGAUAUCAAGCGGAACACCGGUGGCGAAGGCGGCCUUCUGGACAGUGACUGACGCUGAGACGCGAAAGCGUGGGGAGCAAACAGG
rnacentral:rRNA from 1 species